rnacentral:lncRNA from 12 species
CUUCUUUGUUCCAAGGAUGUAAAAAUAAGUAAGUCCCUGCCUCCCCUGCAGGAGCUGGUGGGCAGAGAGCUGGCCGGUGCACGCUGGGACCUGUGCUAGAUGACUGAUGCACGCUUUUGAACAAAUGAAGAGGAAGCUAUUCUUCAGGCAUCAUGGGCAACUGAGCAGAUUUCCCGAAGGAAGAAUCAGGGAGCACGCGAGUCCCCUUUGCGCGGCAGCUGACCUAGAAAGAAGUCACACGUUUGCAAGUCGGAGGCCUAAUCCAUCUCGCGUAGAAGAAGUCCCUGCUCUGUUUCCCUCUUCCCACCCAACCCGCACCAUCUCCCAUUUCUGUUCACUUCACCCAAGUGAUGAAAUUGCUCUCGAGUCUCUGCACGACUCCAGCGGAGGCCCUGUGGAUCGCUGGCUUGGGGGAGGAGGCUGGGUUGAAAAUCGGGAGGCCGCUUGGCGAUGGUCAGGGGAGCUGGCUUUCUUCGAUGAUGCUCAAGGCCUGAGCUGAAGCACACUGAG